UACGUAGGGUGCAAGCGUUGUCCGGAAUUAUUGGGCGUAAAGAGCUCGUAGGCGGUCUGUCGCGUCGGCUGUGAAAACCCGGGGCUCAACCCCGGGCCUGCAGUCGAUACGGGCAGACUAGAGUGCGGUAGGGGAGACUGGAAUUCCUGGUGUAGCGGUGAAAUGCGCAGAUAUCAGGAGGAACACCGGUGGCGAAGGCGGGUCUCUAGUACGGUACUGACGCUGAGACGCGAAAGCGUGGGGAGCGAACAGG
rnacentral:rRNA from 1 species